rnacentral:lncRNA from 1 species
CCCACUAACUUCACCAUUCUCAAUGAAUUUUGCAUUACCGAUUUCAACAAUUCUCGAACUAUGAUUUGGACAGUAAAACCUAUACCCUUUAGAUUUCUCUGGAUAACCAAUAAAGUAACCACUUACCGUUCGAGAAUCUAAUUUCUUUUCAUGUGGAUUAUAAACUCUAGCUUCCGCUUGACAACCCCAAACAUGCAGG